rnacentral:lncRNA from 1 species
CCAAAACGUUGCCAUCUUAUGUUGGUUGUGUGCGAUCAGAGUUUAGGAUUCAUCCUGCGAAAAUGAACUCGGUUUUAUUAUAGUGAAUCUCGUAUGUGCGGCGGCUCCACAUGGUUUGCGUCAAUCCGUGAUUAACCAGCCCCUCGUUGUUCGACACCUGACAACAAAAGAAGUGGAAUGGGAGUUGUAUGGGUUGCUGCAAUUAGGACGUCAAGCCCGGCGUUGCAAAGGGUGUAGUUAAAGGGGGUUGUGCGAGGCAACCAAGUGCGUAGCUGGUACGAGAGGAAACAUCCUUGAGGAGGAUGCGCACCAUGUUGUGAUGUUGGACCCCUUCCCCGCAAGAUGCGUCUGCCGAUAGAGCCACCCCUGCCUCCCUGCCAUGUCGUCCGCCACAACUCACGCCCAGUCUGGGGCCCCCCCACAUUUCCCCCCCCCCCCCAGGCACGUGGAGUACCUACACCAUCAAGGGGUUGGCCAACACCCCAGUUAGCUCUCUGCAGGUGGGUGUUUGGAAACCGUAGCCUGGGUAGCUACAUAGCUACCCACAAGCUUGCUCACAUGUCCACGGUUCUUGGAAGUUUGGAAGCGGUCGAGCAUAGAGCGCCCGGUGCUUUCCGCUUCAUGCAAAUCCCUCAGCUCGCAAUGAAAGCCACUCCUGUCGAAAGUAUGUCGAACAGUCGGCAGCGGGCUAGGAACCUAGCGGGGAAAUAUGCCUCUGAGGCGAUUGUGUUUUGGAGAAAAACCAACAUCCAGAAAAACGUUUCGUCGGCUUCGCAAUGUAGUAACCUUUCGGGCAGGAAAACUGCACUUUUUGCGACUCUCCUGGGCGGUAUAGCGCUCGUGACUGUAUCUGUUGGCCAAGCAAUGGUUGGGGGCUCAUGGUGUGGCAAGGUGUAGCGGGGGAAGAUGCCAGGAAGUGAUUUGUCCUUAC